GCUUUGCUCCUGCAAGAGUGGAGUGCACGCGCUUUGGGACAGUUAAAGAAAAUAAUGUUCACAAAGCCCAUACACUUUUACCCUUUAGGAGAGUUG
rnacentral:pre_miRNA from 1 species